rnacentral:rRNA from 1 species
CCUACGGGGUGCAGCAGUGAGGAAUAUUGGUCAAUGGGCGGAAGCCUGAACCAGCCAAGUCGCGUGAGGGAUUAAGGCCCUGCGGGUCGUAAGCCUCUUUUGCCGGGGAGCAGUGGUCCGGACGCGUCCGGACCGGGAGAGUACCCGGAGAAAAAGCAUCGGCUAACUCCGUGCCAGCAGCCGCGGUAAUACGGAGGAUGCGAGCGUUAUCCGGAUUUAUUGGGUUUAAAGGGAGCGUAGAUGGGUUGUUAAGUCAGUUGUGAAAGUUUGCGGCUCAACCGUAAAAUUGCAAUUGAUACUGGCAGUCUUGAGUACAGUUGAGGUAGGCGGAAUUCGUGGUGUAGCGGUGAAAUGCUUAGAUAUCACGAAGAACCCCGAUUGCGAAGGCAGCUUACUAAACUGUGACUGACAUUGAUGCUCGAAAGUGUGGGUAUCAAACAGGAUUAGAUACCCUAGUAGUC